rnacentral:lncRNA from 1 species
AUGCAGCCGGUCACAUGCGCUGCGGCGGCGGCGGACGUGCCGCUCCCCCCGCGCCCCAAGGAGACCCAGCGCCAUCUUGCCCUGACGCAGUUACAAAAGUCACAGGAGCCAUCGUGUCUCCUCGUCCGCGCCAGCGCCCCAGAGUCUUGCAGAGGCCGAGCCAGGGCCCUCACCUCGCGCAGGGACAGGAGGAAAUGCCUCCCCCGACGGUUUUGGCCCCACCCGCUGCUGCAGCAUGAGGUCAUCGCUAGCCAAUCACGACGCGCCCGACAGACUACCUCAAGCGCCGAUUCGCUGCCACGACUGCCUCUGCCUCUCCCCAUUCAGUUUACCAAGCGCCCAGGGUCGCUGUGGGGCAAGAAGACGGAAACCGCCAUUUCGGGGAGCGACCCGGAAAACAAGAGCCAGAAUAGCCAUGUCACUUUAGUGGGGGAAACCCUCGUUUUAUUCUUUGGCCUACCCCCCAGUUUUCUUUCAGAUAACCGUCUCCCUGCCCCUCCCUCGUUUAAUCACCGCCACAUAAAGGAAUUCCCGCUCCCCGCCCCGCACACUGUCCCGCGAAGGGUAACUCCUUCCCCGGGGCCAAGACAAGUAUAGGAGGCAGCGACAGCGGCUGCACCGACGGCAACAGCAGCGUUUACCGCGAAACACGGUGGCAGGGAGGCGGCACGGACGAUGGCUGUGUUUCCCCAGCUGCUUCUCCCCCCGACCUCUUCCGUUUCUCGCUCCUCCAUGAGACGGCGCCGCGCUCGCUAGCUCCGCUUUUAUCCGGGGCCUGGAGCCUGCGCAGUGGAGCCGCCCCGGCCCCCAGUGGGCGUCGAGUGACGCCCGGCCGGGUUCACCCCGCGCUGGAGGCCCGGUGGGGGCGGGGGGCACCCCUGGGGAGGUCGUCUUGGGGUGGGAGAAAGUGCACCGCUUUCUGGGGAGGACGGCGGGGGUCGCGCCCAGGCCCCACUGUCACCCUUCUGCUCCGGGACGUAGCAUGCCCACGCUCACCGAUCCAGACUUGAGGGCCACUCGGGGAGAACCAAAAGCGCCGACCCCCCCAAACCUUCGGUGAAUUGUUCAGUGCACCUGCUGUGAAAAAGACGGAGCGUGUCCAUCUCCCUGUCUCCAGUUUGUUAGUCUUUGCGCCUCGGCGGAAUGGAAACGGCGGGCGGCAGCCCACAAGCAAAAUGGCGGCGGGCGACUUCGUCCCCUCCCCCCUGCCCCUGCGGAGCGGG